GGAGGUGGCCAUUUUGAAUCUGGGGCUGCCCAUAUAAACAGGGCAGUUUUGCUGCUGGAGGUCAGGCAAUAACAUCACUGGGCUGGAGGGUUGCUGAUAUCAUCUGGAGCUCCAAAAAAAGAAACUCUUAAUAAGAAAGCUGAUAAGCCCAAAGAGACUGAACAUGGACCUUCCCCCUUCCACUGCAUUGGAGAGAGAUGACUGCUAUGCCUCUUACUAAAACUACAGCUGGAUACUUACAUUUUUUUUAAUUAUUAUUUUUUUUUUUU